rnacentral:rRNA from 1 species
CCUACGGGGGGCAGCAGUGAGGAAUAUUGGUCAAUGGCCGGAAGGCUGAACCAGCCAAGUCGCGUGAGGGAAUAAGGCCCUAUGGGUCGUAAACCUCUUUUGUCAGGGAGCAAAGGCGUCCACGUGUGGACGAGAGGAGAGUACCUGAAGAAAAAGCAUCGGCUAACUCCGUGCCAGCAGCCGCUGUAAAACGGAAGAUGCGAGCGUUAUCCGGAUUUAUUGGGUUUAAAGGGUGCGUAGGCGGAUUUUUAAGUCAGCGGUAAAAUGUCCGGGCUCAACCCGGGCCGGCCGUUGAAACUGGGGAUCUUGAGUGGGCGAGAAGUAUGCGGAAUGCGUGGUGUAGCGGUGAAAUGCAUAGAUAUCACGCAGAACUCCGAUUGCGAAGGCAGCAUACCGGCGCCCGACUGACGCUGAGGCACGAAAGCGUGGGGAUCGAACAGGAUUAGAUACCCCAGUAGUC